rnacentral:rRNA from 1 species
UACAGAGGGUGCAAGCGUUAAUCGGAAUUACUGGGCGUAAAGCGUGCGCAGGCGGUGAUGUAAGACAGGUGUGAAAUCCCCGGGCUUAACCUGGGAACUGCAUUUGUGACUGCAUCGCUGGAGUGCGGCAGAGGGGGAUGGAAUUCCGCGUGUAGCAGUGAAAUGCGUAGAUAUGCGGAGGAACACCGGUGGCGAAGGCGGCAUCCUGGACCAUUACUGACACUGAAAAGCGAAAGCCAGGGGAGCAAACGGG